rnacentral:antisense_RNA from 1 species
GCACGGAAAGAUGGCCCUGCCCUCAAGGAGCUGCAGUCUGCCCAGGAAGGCAGACAGAUAAACUGCUAUAGUUUUCCACUACUGAGCUGAAUUUCGUAUCACCAUCAAAAGUUACCUACCUACAAGUCCCUAGUAGAGAAAAUUUAACUUCUGGCUUUAAAAAAGGGACAGAAAAGCAGGCAGAUCUGCAAGUAAGCAAACUAUAGCUCCCCCCAGGAGACACACAGGCAGUGGGUAAGAGGAACAGACCCAUGGCUCCACUAAAGACACAGAGCAGCAGACGAAAAAGACAUGUCCUAAAUGUUAAAUAAAUGUGACAGAAUGAUACCAGGUGACUUCUAAGACUACAUCAUACAAAGCAACACAGCUUCUGCUGGGCUCUCCCUCUCUGGACACGUGUCUUUGAAGCCCUGAGCUGCCAGAUUAAACAGUCCGGCUUGCCUAAAGUCACCAUGCUGGAGACACCAUCAGGGAUGGAGAGGUGCUACAGAAGCCCUAGCUAUUCUAGUCCCCAGC